rnacentral:misc_RNA from 1 species
GCAAACUUGGUCAUUUAGAGGAAGUAAAAGUCGUAACAAGGUCUCCGUUGGUGAACCAGCGGAGGGAUCAUUACAGAGUGUAAACUCCAAACCCAUGUGAACAUACCUCUUUGUUGCCUCGGCAGGCUACCCCGUAGGUGCCCUAUAGCUAUAGGGCCCUAUCUGGUAUGUCCGCCGGUGGUCUUUUAAACUCUUAUUACUUGAGAAUCUGAGUGAAUUAUUUAAUAAGUCAAAACUUUCAACAACGGAUCUCUUGGUUCUGGCAUCGAUGAAGAACGCAGC